rnacentral:rRNA from 1 species
AAGAAGCGAACCUGCGAAGGCAAGCGGAUCUCUUAAAGCCGUUCUCAGUUCGGACUGUAGGCUGCAACUCGCCUACACGAAGCUGGAAUCGCUAGUAAUCGCGGAUCAGCACGCCGCGGUGAAUACGUUCCCGGGCCUUGUACACACCGCCCGUCACACCAUGAGAGUCUGUAACACCCAAAGCCGGUGGGAUAACCUUUAUAGGAGUCAGCCGUCUAAGGUAGGACAGAUGAUUAGGGUGAAGUCGUAACAAGGUAGC